UCUUUCUAAUGAAGGUGUGUGGAGAAAAAUAAGAAGUAUGGCGGUCUUUAAUCUUGUCAGAGGGACAUGUAUUGAAAUAACGAAUUUGCACGAUAAUCUGUCCCAAUUUUGAAUAAUUCAUUUUGUACACCGCUGUCUGAAAAAAAUUAUGAAAAUAUUUUUUCUUUUCCCUUUAGGAGAUAAGACAAGUUAAGGUGCAGGUUAUAGUUGGGGUGAUAUGUGUUCCAAUGGGAAUAUUGGAUUAAUAGUUGGAAAUAGUUAAGAAAAAGAAUUUGAUAGUAAAAUUGGUGAAUUAAACUGAUUUGAAGAUGAGCUAUAAAAGGUGU
rnacentral:rRNA from 1 species